rnacentral:rRNA from 1 species
UACGUAGGGCGCAAGCGUUGUCCGGAAUUAUUGGGCGUAAAGAGCUCGUAGGCGGCCUGUUGCGUCCGCUGUGAAAUCCCGGGGCUCAACCCCGGGCCUGCAGUGGAUACGGGCUGGCUAGAGGCAGGCAGGGGAGAACGGAAUUCCUGGUGUAGCGGUGAAAUGCGCAGAUAUCAGGAGGAACACCGGUGGCGAAGGCGGUUCUCUGGGCCUGUACUGACGCUGAGGAGCGAAAGUGUGGGGAGCGAACAGG